rnacentral:lncRNA from 1 species
CAGUAGGGGGACCCCAAGAACCACUUUUACUGAUACAGGAAAUAAAAAAAAACACAUCGUACAAUCCAGUGACACUCCCAUCUGCAGCUCUUUAUAUCCAUGUGUCUAUUAGAGACUCUGGCAGUUUGUGUCUAUCAGAACAUGGAUAUUAUUGUUAAACAAGGCCUCCUCGGAUUUUCACUCUUUGUGCUGUGGACUGCAGGUCUAAUUGAUGGGAGCGAUGUCACCCAGAAUGACAUAAUGUGGAAAUACAAGGGCGACAGUGCAGCAAUAGACUGCAGACACACGAAGGGUGAAUUAUACUACUACAUGUACUGGUACAGACAGCUACCAGGAGAAACAAUGAAACUAAUUGUGUUCACAUCAUCAAUCAACACAAAUCAUGACUUUGGCAAUUUCAGUACAGUGAAAUUCUCAGCCACCAAACCUGACGCUGCCAAUGGGACAUUCACAGUGAACAAUCUGGAGCCAGGAGAUAAAGGCUUGUACUUCUGUGCUGUGAGUGAACACAGUGAUACAGAUGCACUCAAUAGCUGAACAAAAACCUCAGUGCACUAAUUAUCUCAUGUACUGUAGGGGGACCUCAUGCACCACAUAUACUUCCAGUUACACAGUGAUUCAAUAUGCAGCGAACAGAAUCAGAGUACGUCACAGAAGAUAGCGACACUCCCACCUGCAACUUGUCAUAUCUCUGUGACUACACUGACAGUUGAGACUCAAACCUUCAGAACAAGGACAUGAUCAAACAGGAUCACCACAUCUACCAGAUGUACCGGUACAGACAGCUGCCAGGAGCAAUGGAGCAAGCAAUGAAACUUAUAGUGUUCACAAUAGUUGGGAGUGAAGAUCAUGACUUUGGCAAUUUCAGCCACCAAACCUGGCGCUCACAGUGGGACAUUCACAGUGAACAAAAAAGAAAAUAAAGGCUUGUAUUCCUGUACUGUGAGUCAGGGACCACAGUGACACAUUUAAUUUACAACGCUACGUAAAAACCUUUCUAUUGACCUUCUCUUCAUCCUGUAUUACUAGACUAACUGUUACUACUAAACUACUUUACAACACGAAAAUCUUAAGAAAAUACUAUUUUAGAAUAUUUUAAGCUUCAUAACAAGUUUUGAAAUAUCGCUGUCUUUCUAACUAAAAUAUAUGGAAUUAACCAUUAUUAUUCAUGAGAAAGAGGUAAUUAUGGAAACAUAUGAGUAAG